CAUAUCCUAGCAAAUCAUAUUUCAAUCGCAUUCCAUCUCUUUUCUUUUCUAUCUGUUAGUGUUCAUUGAGUUAGAGGAGAAUCGAUCUCGGGGGUUUUAUUCUUUGGAUUCUCAGUUCUUUGCAAAUUUGGAAAUCGAAACAGGAUGUCGAGGAGAGUAUUAUUAAACAAGAUGGUUGAAUUUAGGAACAGUAUUGGCAAGAUAGCGACUCCAGUAUCAUCGGAUUUGGGGAAGUUUAAGAAUGAAUUCCAUACCUUAGGAGGGAGCACCAACAAACUUAUUAACGCGCAAACUCAGUGUCGUCAAGUUGGAAUUUAUCCACCUUACCAGAAUACAACCACAAGAUGUUUUGGGGCAAUGCCAAUAGAGAAAGUGGAAAAGUCAGCUGUAAAAGGGAACACACUGAAACAGAUAUUUGAGGCGAACCGUGCUGUUUUCUGGCAUAUGAAUCUAGGAAUGGAAGAGAUAUUGAAGGAUUAUGUUCACCAGGAAGUUACCCGUGAAUGGGUCUCGGUCUAUUUGAGAGUUUUUUCUAUCAUUGUGAUGAAAGAUCUUGUCUUGGCUCUUGUUUGAACUUGUUGAAGAACCUAACAAGGUCAACCUCAUACUUGGCCUAAGAACUACCUUGCAAUAAGCACCUUCAACACCAAAUGCACAAAGAUCGGUGAUUGGUUGGAUUUAAGAUAAGGGGAAUUCUUCUUCUCGCCAUUGUUGUUCUGUUUUUUUUCAUUUCAGCAUUGUAGGAAGUUAUCCUUUACUCUGCGUCUUUUUAAUUUCGUAUCUUAUGUUCUCUGGAGUUUAGUUGUUGGAUGUGAUUAAUAUCCUCCAAAAACCUAAGAGUUUCUGCAAAUAAUUACAUGCUUAAGUUCUGUUGAUGGGGGACUUUUGCCAGACAAUUGCAUGCUUCAGUUUUGGUUUCUUCGUUAAUAACAUCUGUUGAUAACAUCUAUGGUAUUUUGCUUCUUUUUGCUGUUUGUAUAGUGUCAUGAUUACUUCUUUUGUACGGGAGGAUGUAUUUCCGGUCUCAGUUUAUACUUCUUCUAGUUCGAUGUGGCUCUGGUUUCAUGGUCCUGGGGUUUCUUGAAGGAAUUAACUGGAUACACAAAUGUAUAACUA